rnacentral:rRNA from 1 species
AACGCUGGCGGCGUGGAUAAGACAUGCAAGUCGAACGAGAGAAUUGCUAGCUUGCUAAUAAUUCUCUAGUGGCGCACGGGUGAGUAACACGUGAGUAACCUGCCCCCGAGAGCGGGAUAGCCCUGGGAAACUGGGAUUAAUACCGCAUAGUAUCGAAAGAUUAAAGCAGCAAUGCGCUUGGGGAUGGGCUCGCGGCCUAUUAGUUAGUUGGUGAGGUAACGGCUCACCAAGGCGAUGACGGGUAGCCGGUCUGAGAGGAUGUCCGGCCACACUGGAACUGAGACACGGUCCAGACACCUACGGGUGGCAGCAGUCGAGAAUCAUUCACAAUGGGGGAAACCCUGAUGGUGCGACGCCGCGUGGGGGAAUGAAGGUCUUCGGAUUGUAAACCCCUGUCAUGUGGGAGCAAAUUAAAAAGAUAGUACCACAAGAGGAAGAGACGGCUAACUCUGUGCCAGCAGCCGCGGUAAUACAGAGGUCUCAAGCGUUGUUCGGAAUCACUGGGCGUAAAGCGUGCGUAGGCUGUUUCGUAAGUCGUGUGUGAAAGGCGCGGGCUCAACCCGCGGACGGCACAUGAUACUGCGAGACUAGAGUAAUGGAGGGGGAACCGGAAUUCUCGGUGUAGCAGUGAAAUGCGUAGAUAUCGAGAGGAACACUCGUGGCGAAGGCGGGUUCCUGGACAUUAACUGACGCUGAGGCACGAAGGCCAGGGGAGCGAAAGGGAUUAGAUACCCCUGUAGUCCUGGCAGUAAACGGUGCACGCUUGGUGUGCGGGGAAUCGACCCCCUGCGUGCCGGAGCUAACGCGUUAAGCGUGCCGCCUGGGGAGUACGGUCGCAAGAUUAAAACUCAAAGAAAUUGACGGGGACCCGCACAAGCGGUGGAGUAUGUGGCUUAAUUCGAUGCAACGCGAAGAACCUUACCUGGGCUUGACAUGUAAUGAACAACAUGUGAAAGCAUGCGACUCUUCGGAGGCGUUACACAGGUGCUGCAUGGCCGUCGUCAGCUCGUGUCGUGAGAUGUUUGGUUAAGUCCAGCAACGAGCGCAACCCUUGUUGCCAGUUACCAGCACGUGAAGGUGGGGACUCUGGCGAGACUGCCCAGAUCAACUGGGAGGAAGGUGGGGACGACGUCAGGUCAGUAUGGCCCUUAUGCCCAGGGCUGCACACGUACUACAAUGCCCAGUACAGAGGGGGCCGAAGCCGCGAGGCGGAGGAAAUCCUGAAAACUGGGCCCAGUUCGGACUGUAGGCUGCAACCCGCCUACACGAAGCCGGAAUCGCUAGUAAUGGCGCAUCAGCUACGGCGCCGUGAAUACGUUCCCGGGUCUUGUACACACCGCCCGUCACAUCAUGGAAGCCGGUCGCACCCGAAGUAUCUGAAGCCAACCGCAAGGAGGCAGGGUCCUAAGGUGAGACUGGUAACUGG